rnacentral:rRNA from 1 species
UACAGAGGGGGCAAGCGUUAUUCGGAAUUAUUGGGCGUAAAGGGCGCGUAGGCGGCCAUUCAAGUGACGGGUGAAAGCCCUCGGCUUAACCGAGGAACUGCCUGUCAGACUGGAUGGCUUGAGACCGGGAGAGGUGAGUGGAAUUCCCAGUGUAGCGGUGAAAUGCGUAGAUAUUGGGAGGAACACCAGUGGCGAAGGCGGCUCACUGGACCGGAACUGACGCUGAGGCGCGAAAGCGUGGGAGCAACAGGG